rnacentral:rRNA from 1 species
GACGAACGCUGGCGGCGUGCCUAAUACAUGCAAGUCGAACGCAGUGGGGACGGGUGAGUAACACGUGGGUAACCUCCCAUCAGAGGGGAUAACACUUGGAAACAGGUGCUAAACCGAUACUGAUGGAUGGACCCGCGGUGCAUUAGCUAGUUGGUGAGGUAACGGAUCACCAAGGCCACGAUGCAUAGCCGACCAGAGAGGGGGAUCGGUCACACAGGAACGGAUACACGGCCCAGACGCGAACGGGAGGAAGCAGUAGUGAAUCUUCGGGAAUGGAGGAAAGUCUGAACGAGCAACGCCGCGUGAGUGAAGAAGGUUUGCGGAUCGAAAAACUCUGGUGUUAGAGAAGCGGUAUCUAACCAGAAAGCCACGGCUAACUACGUGCCAGCAGCCGCGGGAAUUC